AGACUGAUGGCAGCACGUGUAGUCACUGCAAAGAGUAGCCUAAUAAGCUGGAAUUGCUUCUCUCCCAUUGGUUGCGAAUGGUGGGACUGUUUUGCCCUGACUUCCCCCAGCCACAUGGAAACGGUGCCACCCAUUUUCUCUCUGCUUCUGUCCUCGGUUUACCACUGGAUUUCCCCUGCAGUUGUCAAGUAACAGCCUGUUUAGCUGGAUAUUAAUACAUAGACCUCUUUCUGUGUGCCGGACCGGGGUAAUCAUCUCAAUCCUUGCUUCAACACCUC
rnacentral:lncRNA from 1 species